CUGAGGACUGAGAGAAGAGUAUAACAGUACAGCGGGGUUUUAGAAGCCCAUCAGAGUGAUUUUCUGAGUUCUUUCACAUGCUGUAUGGUCAGCGAAUGGAUGGAUUAUCCAGUCAUGGUACAUAAUGAAAGACUGAGUUAGAAGAAGCUGAGCGACUCUUCAUAGUGAAGAUGUUAUGAUGCAGUUAUGUCAAAGCACUCGUUUCGGCUGGACAGAUUGGAACAGACCUGAAUGGGAAGAUGGCAGAGCUAAGACUGGCAAUGUCCAGGAAAAAUGUUAACUAAAAAUGAGUGUUUUCCCCCAGCGAGUGAGUUUGGGAAUGUUUUAAAUGUGCCUAGAAGUUUGAAAAUGUAAUACUGAGGGAAAAAAGUGAGCGCUUUGAAAAGGCUUUAAAAAGAAAAAAAAGUCUGAUGUUGAUGUUAAAUGAAGUUAAAGUUUUUACUUGAAAAGUUUGUACUUGUUUGUACUUGUAAAGUCUGUGCUGAAAAAAAUGCAGUAAAGUUUGUAUUUGAAAAGA